rnacentral:tRNA from 1 species
CAGGGAGACAACAAAAUGUUUAAUUAUUAUUUUGUCACCUUAGGUCGAUCGGUACCUCACGUUCUUGAUUUAUCAAGAAUUUCAUUUUCUAAGUUUUUCUAGGUCACACCCAUUAUUUUUCCUGGGCCAUUAGCUCAGGUGGUUAGAGCGCACCCCUGAUAAGGGUGAGGUCCCUGGUUCAAGUCCAGGAUGGCCCAUAUCUCUAUGUUGGGGGUAUAGCUCAGUUGGUAGAGCGCCUGCUUUGCAAGCAGGAUGUCAGCGGUUCGAGUCCGCUUACCUCCACUGAUUACCACCUCUUCCAUAAUUUGUAGAAAGGAAAUGUUUUGAGUUGUGAUCAAAUUCUGAACGAAUUUAGCUUCCUAAUGAAAUCAUUAAGAUGCUGGACUCAUUGAAUUAAUUUCAUUGUUUUCAGAGAACCUUGACAACUGCAUAGAUUAUUUUUAAAGACAAUAAGCAUCUUUAUGUGAUGCAGAUUUAUUAUUUGUGCGAAUGCAUUAAAUAACAAUUCUAUUAAGCUGAUGCUUCAAAUUUUUGAAGUUAUU